AUUGAACGCUGGCGGCAGGCCUAACACAUGCAAGUCGAGCGGAUGAAGGGAGCUUGCUCCUGGAUUCAGCGGCGGACGGGUGAGUAAUGCCUAGGAAUCUGCCUGGUAGUGGGGGAUAACGUCCGGAAACGGGCGCUAAUACCGCAUACGUCCUGAGGGAGAAAGUGGGGGAUCUUCGGACCUCACGCUAUCAGAUGAGCCUAGGUCGGAUUAGCUAGUUGGUGGGGUAAAGGCCUACCAAGGCGACGAUCCGUAACUGGUCUGAGAGGAUGAUCAGUCACACUGGAACUGAGAAACGGUCCAGACUCUUACGGGAGGCAGCAGUGGGGAAUAUUGGACAAUGGGCGAAAGCCUGAUCCAGCCAUGCCGCGUGUGUGAAGAAGGUCUUCGGAUUGUAAAGCACUUUAAGUUGGGAGGAAGGGCAGUAAGUUAAUACCUUGCUGUUUUGACGUUACCAACAGAAGAAGCACCGGCUAACUUCGUG
rnacentral:rRNA from 1 species